AGCUCCAAUAGCGUAUACUAAAGUUGUUGCAGUUAAAAAGCUCGUAGUUGAAUUUCUGGUCCCGGACGGCGGUCUACCACAAUUGUGGUACGCACCAACUGUCCGAGUCCAUCCUCGGGGAAAACAUGCCUGUGAUUCAGUUCAUGGGUAUGGGCUCCUCGUCAUUUACUGUGAGCAAAAUAGAGUGUUCAAAGCAGGCUUAUGCCGUUGAAUACAUUAGCAUGGAAUAAUAAGAUAGGACCUUGGUCUAUUUUGUUGGUUUGUACUCCAAGGUAAUGAUUAAUAGGGAUAGUUGGGGGUAUUCGUAUUCAAUUGUCAGAGGUGAAAUUCUUGGAUUUAUGGAAGACGAACUACUGCGAAAGCAUUUACCAAGGAUGUUUUCAUUAAUCAAGAACGAAAG
rnacentral:rRNA from 1 species